GCAGAGCACCAUUAAUGCACAGACAACGACCAUAGAUUGUGGGGCGGCAUGUGCAACGAGGUGUCAGCAAUCGAAGAGGCCAAGACUCUGUGAAAGGUCUUGUGGGAGUUGCUGCUUCCGAUGCCAAUGCGUACCUCCGGGCACCUCCGGCAACUACGAAGCCUGUCCCUGCUGCGCCACCAUGACCACCCGCGGCAACAAACCCAAAUGCCCUUA